rnacentral:rRNA from 1 species
GACGAACGCUGGCGGCGUGCUUAACACAUGCAAGUCGAACGGAAAGGCCCUGCUUUUGUGGGGUGCUCGAGUGGCGAACGGGUGAGUAACAAGUGAGUAACCUGCCCUUGACUUUGGGAUAACUUCAGGAAACUGGGGCUAAUACCGGAUAGGAGCUCCUGCUGCAUGGUGGGGGUUGGAAAGUUUCGGCGGUUGGGGAUGGACUCGCGGCUUAUCAGCUUGUUGGUGGGGUAGUGGCUUACAAAGGCUUUGACGGGUAGCCGGCCUGAGAGGGUGACCGGCCACAUUGGGACUGAGAUACGGCCCAGACGCCUACGGGAGGCAGCAGUGGGGAAUAUUGCACAAUGGGCGGAAGCCUGAUGCAGCAACGCCGCGUGCGGGAUGACGGCCUUCGGGUUGUAAACCGCUUUCGCCUGUGACGAAGCGUGAGUGACGGUAAUGGGUAAAGAAGCACCGGCUAACUACGUG